GUGAGGAAUUUUCCGCAAUGGGCGAAAGCCUGACGGAGCAAUGCCGCGUGAAGGAUGAAGGCCUAUGGGUUGUAAACUUCUUUUCUCAGAAAAGAAUUAUGACGGUAUCUGAGGAAUAAGCACCGGCUAACUCCGUGCCAGCAGCCGCGGUAAUACGGAGGGUGCAAGCGUUAUCCGGAUUCACUGGGUUUAAAGGGUGCGUAGGCGGUUUUAUAAGUCAGUGGUGAAAUCAACGGGCUCAACCUGUUAACUGCCAUUGAUACUGUAGGACUUGAAUAUGAGAGAGGUAGGCGGAAUGUUGCAUGUAGCGGUGAAAUGCUUAGAUAUGCUACGGAACACCGAUUGCGAAGGCAGCUUACUAUUUCAUGAUUGACGCUGAGGCACGAAAGCGUGGGUAGCGAACAGGAUUAGAUACCCCAGUAGUCC
rnacentral:rRNA from 1 species